GCCCUACUUAACUUAUGUAAGGUGAAACCUGCUCAAUGGUUGCUAAUAAUAAGUAAAAACAAUUAAAUAGCCGCGGUAACUCUGACCGUGAUAAAGUAGCAUAAUCACUCGUCAUUUAAUUGGUGACUGGAAUGAAUGGUUAAACGAAUCUUUAACUGUCUCAAGAAGAAAAUAAUUUAAUUUGAACUAACAGUGAAGAUGCUGUUAAAUGAUUAUAAGACGAAAAGACCCUAUCGAGCUUUACUAAAAGCUUAUAGAAUUUUGAUAAAAAAGAAUUUAAAUCACUUAACCUGUAAGCUUGUUAGUUUGGUUGGGGCGACCACCUCUAAAAAAGUAUCAGAGGAAUUCUAAAGGUUAAUUAAUAAUAUAUAAUGCCUUACUGUAUACAGACCAGUUAAUCAGUCACCUACAGGUGAGAUAUAGUGACCCGUUAGACAGCUAUUAUAAUCUAACGAUUAUGAAAAAAGUUACCGUAGGGAUAACAGGGUAAUAUUUUCGAAGAGUCCAUAUCGAUGAAAAUGUUUGCCACCUCGAUGUUGAAUUGUGAUAUCCUAAAGGUGUAGCAGCUUUUAAGGGUUG
rnacentral:rRNA from 1 species